rnacentral:rRNA from 1 species
AGCAGCCGCGGUAAUUCCAGCUCCAAUAGCGUAUAUUAAAGUUGUUGCAGUUAAAAAGCUCGUAGUUGAAUUUUGGGUUUGGCCGAUUGGUCCGUUCUUGUAACGAGUACUGGUCGGUUGGGCCUCACCGCUUGGUGAUGCGGAAUGUCCUUUAUUGGGUGUUGCGAGUAGCCAAGACCUUUACCUUGAAAAAAUUAGAGUGUUUAAAGCAGGCUUAUGCCAGAAUACAUUAGCAUGGAAUAAUAGAAUAGGACGAUGAUUCUAUUUUGUUGGUUUCUAGGAGCAUCGUAAUGAUUAAUAGGGAUAGUUGGGGGCAUUAGUAUUCAAUUGUCAGAGGUGAAAUUCUUGGAUUUAUUGAAGACUAACUACUGCGAAAGCAUUUGCCAAGGAUGUUUUCAUUAAUCAAGAACGAAAGUUAGGGGAUCGAAGACGAUCAGAUACCGUCGUAGU